GACGAACGCUGGCGGCGUGCCUAACACAUGCAAGUCGAACGAACAGAUGAGGAGCUUUCUCGUCUGAGUGUAUCAGCGGAGGGGUGAGUAACACGUGGUCAACAUACCUCCCAGACUGGGAUGAUAACGGGAAACCGGAGCUAAUACCGGAUAAUAUAUUGAAUCUGAUGGUUCAAUAGUGAGAGACGGUUUUUGUUUCAGUUAUAGAUGGACCCGCGCCCGAUUAGCUAGUUGGUAGGGUAACGGAUUACCAAGGCAGCGAUGGGUAGCCGGCCUGAGGGGGUGGUCGGCGACCCUGGAGCUGAGACACAGUCGAGACUCCUGCGGGAGGCAGCAGCAGGGAAUCUUACGGAAUGGAGGAAAGCCUGACGGAGCAACGCCGCGUAAGUGAUGAUGGACUUCGGAUGGUAGAGCUCUGUUAUUAGUAGGGAAGAAAUGUGUAAUUAACUGUGCACGUAUUGACGGUACCUGGACAAAAAGCCCCGGCUAACUACGUG
rnacentral:rRNA from 1 species